rnacentral:rRNA from 2 species
GUAACGGCGAGUGAACCGGUAACAGCUCAAAUUUGAAAUCUGGCCCUUUCAGGGUCCGAGUUGUAAUUUGUAGAAGAUGCUUCGGGUGUGGCUCCGGUCUAAGUUCCUUGGAACAGGACGUCAUAGAGGGUGAGAAUCCCGUAUGUGACUGGCUGCCUCCGCCCAUGUGAAGCUCUUUCGACGAGUCGAGUUGUUUGGGAAUGCAGCUCUAAAUGGGUGGUAAAUUUCAUCUAAAGCUAAAUAUUGGCCAGAGACCGAUAGCGCACAAGUAGAGUGAUCGAAAGAUGAAAAGCACUUUGGAAAGAGAGUUAAACAGUACGUGAAAUUGUUGAAAGGGAAGCGCUUGCAACCAGACUUGCGCCCCGUCGAUCAUCCUCCGUUCUCGGGGGUGCACUCGGCGGGGCUCAGGCCAGCAUCGGUUUCGGUGGUGGGAUAAAGGCCUUGGGAACGUAGCUCCUCUCGGGGAGUGUUAUAGCCCUCGGUGCAAUGCCGCCUACCGGGACCGAGGACCGCGCUUCGGCUAGGAUGCUGGCGUAAUGGUUG